rnacentral:rRNA from 1 species
AGUGAACGCUGGCGGUAGGCCUAACACAUGCAAGUCGAACGGCAGCACAGUAAGAGCUUGCUCUUACGGGUGGCGAGUGGCGGACGGGUGAGGAAUACAUCGGAAUCUACUUUUUCGUGGGGGAUAACGUAGGGAAACUUACGCUAAUACCGCAUACGACCUACGGGUGAAAGCAGGGGAUCUUCGGACCCUGCGCGAUUGAAUGAGCCGAUGUCGGAUUAGCUAGUUGGCGGGGUAAAGGCCCACCAAGGCGACGAUCCGUAGCUGGUCUGAGAGGAUGAUCAGCCACACUGGAACUGAGACACGGUCCAGACUCCUACGGGAGGCAGCAGUGGGGAAUAUUGGACAAUGGGCGCAAGCCUGAUCCAGCCAUACCGCGUGGAUGAAGAAGGCCUUCGGGUUGUAAAGCCCUUUUGUUGGGAAAGAAAAGCAGCAGGUUAAUACCCCGCUGUUCUGACGGUACCCAAAGAAUAAGCACCGGCUAACUUCGUG